AAAGUCCAACUUUGUGGCAAAUAAACAUGACGUUAAGCUCCCUGUCGUAUAUUAUAUCAUAACUGCUUUGCACAACCACCGACGAUGGCGAGUUCAACGAGGUCCAAAAUGAAAACAGCAAGUGUGAAGAAUUGGAACUGCCAGAAAGUCAAAGAAUGGAUAAAAAAUAAUGGAUUUCCACAGUAUGCGGAAACUUUCUGUGAUACCCACAAAAUAGACGGGCAGGUUCUGUUGUCCUUGACAGAGAAAGAUCUGAAACAACCCCCACUGCAACUCUCUGUUCUAGGGGACAUCAAAAAGUUAAUGUUUCAUAUUACAGCCCUACGCAGUGAAGUUUUGGGUUCUGAGAGUAACGAACUGGGCAGCACCGAAAACUCAUCAGAGGAUGAGCUAUUUACUGGGACACAGGACUUCAUCACCCGUAAAGUGAAAAUACACCAUUCUCAUCAUCUAGACCCCGAGAUCUGGAAAACUGUUCUGAGUUUUAUAUAUGUGUUUACUGUCUUUCUGAUCACUGCCUUCAUCAUGGUCAUUGUCCACGAGCGUGUGCCCGAUGUUGAGAAGUACCCCCCACUGCCCGACAUUUUCCUGGACAAUGUGCCGUUCAUACCCUGGGCCUUUCACGCAGCCGAGUUGAUUGGAAUGGGUAUGGGUGCAGUAUGGAUAACAACCCUUUUCUUCCAUAAGCAUAGGUAAACAUAUCAGAUAUCACAUAAUUCCUGUGUUAUAACAUAUGUUUGAUUUUGAAUUUAAAGGGACUUGGACACGAUUUAAGAUCAAAUAUUUUAUUUUUAAUUUUUAUGUAUAAAAUGGUUUACUGGUGCAAUUUAAAUGAUUGAGCAAAAUAUUGAAUGUUAAAGUCAAGCUACAAGCGAGAUUACAGAGAUUCAUCUUGAUGAGGAGAAUGUUUUCGUUGUUGGGGACCCUUUUCCUGCUGCGCAGUGUGUGCAUGCUGAUCACCUCUCUCUCAGUGCCAAGUGAACAUCUAGCUUGUGAGAAGAAGUCAUAUGGAGACAUUUGGGCCAAGCUAAAGCGAGCCUUUGAGAUCUGGUCGGGUCUGGGAAUGACCACGACUGGCGUUAGGACCUGUGGGGACUACAUGUUUAGUGGGCACACUGUCAUCCUCACCAUGCUCAACUUCUUCAUUACUGAGUACACUCCACGCAAACUGUACUACCUUCACACCUGUAGCUGGAUGGCUAACAUGUUUGGAGUGUUUCUAAUCCUAGCCGCACAUGAACAUUACUCCAUCGAUGUUUUCGUUGCUUUUUACCUCACCUCACGGCUGUUCUUGUAUUAUCACACGUUGGCCAACAAUCGAUCGUUGAUGGAUCGUGACAAAGGGCGCAGGCGCUUCUGGUUCCCCCUGUUCUCUUUUUUCGAAUCGAAAUGUGACGGGGUGGUCCCAAAUGAGUUUGAAUGGCCAGUGCCAAGAAUGAUUGAGGGCAUUAAGAACUCAUUUGGGUAUGCUACGCCUCUUAAGCCUAAAACAAAUUGAGCUCAGGGAUUUUUGCUCCUUGUUUUCGUAUACAUGCUUUUUUUAAAAUGGGGAACAUACAAUCAUGUUAAUCUUUUGAAUCAAUUUAUUUUAACAGAGGUUGAAAUUCUAUAUCACAUGUAAUAAUAUCAUUGUAAAUGUUUUGAUGUAUACAUAUUUUGGUUUGAUUUAGGGCAAUAUGAGCUGCAAUUUUCAUAUUGAAGAUUCCAAAUGUUAGAAAUAUAAUUUACCAUACUACUGAAGCCAAAUUACACUUUGUCAUUAGAUCUAGAUAUACAAAACUUGGUUUGCCAUUUAUUCCAUGGGUCAAAAAUUUCCCCUUUCUGGUUAAAAAAUUUGAUUUAUCACUUCUGAAGGAAUUACUGGCAAGCUAAAAAUAUAGUCAUUAAAUGUAUACUUGUAUAUGUAGCAUAUUUUGCUGCAAAAUUAUUUUUUUUAAAUUACAGCUCAAUUGCUAUAUUGUUUAUUUCAGUUUUACAAAUAUACAAAAUAUUUUCACUUUAGACAAUAUUAUCAUUCCUAGAGGCAAAUCACUGAUGUGAAACCUUGCUAGAUUUAUAUUUAUUACUGUUUGAUAUUAUGUACCAGUAUAUGUUUGCUAACCUGAACAUAAAAUUAGUCCUCAUACAUGUAUGUGAUAAUUUUCUAGCCAUAAACCUGCUUUUUAUUAAAAAAAAAAAAAAAAAAGAGAGAGAGGUGGUAUUAAAUAAGUGUUUAUUGAAUAUAAUGCAAGUAAUUUUUUUAAAGGUAGUGCUAAAUGCAACUAAAUUUGCAUUUGAAUAUUGUAGAUGUAAUUGAGAAUUACAUGUGUACAUUUUAAUUAACUAGUUAGGAACAGCUUUUCUUUUAUAAAAUAGGAGAGGAGUGCAUUGUCCAUUGUUUUCAUGGAUUAUUAGUUUUUCAAAAAGUUUGUUUGGUUGUUAUUUCAGGCAUUUGCCUGUAAUUAUAAAAAUGAAAACUGUGAGUUAUAUAAUUUAUGAGAAUCUUAAUUCAUGGAUUAGGGGUACCUACAAAGUCCAUGAAAAUUGAGCCCCCACAUUUCAUAAAUGAUUCAAAAAAAUUACUAUUUGUGACAAACGAGAAAUCAGGUUCUCAAAUUAAAAGAUAUGAAAUGCUGAUUAAAUAAUCCUUAGCACUCAAAAGUGAUACUGAAUUAUUAAUUUCCCUAUGAUGACAACCUUUGAAUUACCUGGUACUAACAUACAGGAACAAUCACUGAAUAAGUUGAUGGCAAGUUCCUUUGUAAGAGAACAUCCUAAAUAUUAAUGUUUAUCAUAGGAUACCAUUAUCAUUAUGUGUAUUCUUCUUUUAUUUUUUGUUGAUGUAGAAAAUUGUGAAAUACAUACAUGUAUAAUGUACCUUGACAUGAACAUGUAAUGUACUGUACUGGAUGUAGAAUUAGCACACUAACUGUUGCAGUAUUGACUUAACUAUGCCAUGCUUUAAACAAAUGAUAAUGGAAGAUGGUUUAUUUAUUUUUUGCACAUAUUGUUUACAUUUGCUGAACAUAUAUUUUACCAUGCGAGUGCCAUGUAUUUUUUUUUAUACUUAUUGAAGAGCAUGUACAAAUAAACAAGUUUGGAUUUAG
rnacentral:misc_RNA from 1 species